GCACAGAGUUAGCCGGGGCUUCCUCACUCGGUACCGUCAGACUUCGACGUGUUAGGUCGAAGCUUUUCGUCCCGAGCAACAGGAGUUUACAAUCCGAAGACCUUCAUCCUCCACGCGGCGUUGCGUCGUCAGGCUUGCGCCCAUUGCGAACAAUUCCCCACUGCUGCCUCCCGUAGGAGUCUGGGCCGUGUCUCAGUCCCAGUGUGUCCGUCCGCCCUCUCAGGCCGGAUACUGAUCGUCGCCUUGGUGAGCCAUUACCCCACCAACCAGCUAAUCAGGCGCGGGCCCCUCAUCAAGCGCCAGGUCUUGCGAUCCCCGGCUUUGAUCUCCACCUGUUCAAAGGCAGGAUGUUAUGCGGUAUUAGCGUCCCUUUCGGGACGUUAUCCCCCACUCGAAGGUAGGUCACCCACGUGUUACUCACCCGUUCGCCACUCAGUUAUCCAUUGCUGAAUAACCGCGUUCGACUUGCAUGUGUUAGGCACGCCGCCAGCGUUGAUU
rnacentral:rRNA from 1 species